GAUCAUCCUGUCGCAAGUGCUGUAAAAGUCGAAUUCAGUGACGACGUUUUCGCUUUAUGGAGGACUGCAGAGAACUCUGAGUAAUUGGAGAUAAAUAGUGGAAAGAUCAGGCUUGUGACCACUACCUGUGAUCAUUGCACCGCUCUUUGUGCUCCUUUGAAACAACUCGACGUUUCUCGUCUAAGCAUUAGUUGCUCAUCAAUUCCCAAAGGAUAAAGAGGGCGUGUUAAUCAGCUUGUAACGAGCGCUUAAGUGUGUUACCAGAAAAAAUCAAUGAGAAGAAAGAUAUUUUAUGAAACACUAAUUUUCUCUAUACUUAACUUGAAUCUCGUAAUACCUUAAAAUUUCUUUAACGGUGAACAAAGUUUUAAACCAUGAUUCGUAUAAUUAAAUUGUGGCCGUAAAUUCCGAUAACUGCCAAUCCUAGAGUUUAUGAAACCACAAAUGACCCGAUGAAAUAAAGUGGCGACUUACACGAAGUGUUCAUCGUCAGUUUAUAAAACGUGAUGGCUCGUAUAUUUCAUUGUCGCUGCAAGCGAAUGAUCGAUUCUCAGAAUAGGUGUCCCGCAUGCCAGCCUUUUAGAUCUUUCUACAAGAACGUUGACGUACCAUUUACUAUCAAUGGCAUGUAGAUGGCUAAUGGCUUGACAAGUUGUACCGAGUUGAAAUAAUUUGAAAAGGCGGUCACUCUUGACGUGAAUAUUCUCGGAUAGCGAUUUCCCGGUGACGUCAGCAGACAUAGCGACGCGGUACUGGAAGAGCGGUAAUGCCUCUUAAAAUGGGGCAUUUUUGUCGAUAAUAAUAUUCCCCGGGGAGAUUUAUGCUUGUGACGAAAAUGGGAUCGCUUCCGAUCUUAAACUUUGAAAGCGAACGGAACCAUGCGAUGGCUCCCUCCGAAUAUAACGAAACGUCGUCGGUGGUUAAAGUUAGGCGAGAUUCUUGAUGCCAUACUAAGUGUCAAGUUAUAAGAUCGCCGAAAUCUGACAACUGAAGGACUUGAACGAUGACAAAUGCAUUCCGAGAACCAGAUUUAAAUUAUUCAAUUAUUCGCGUAAUGGAGAUAAUUUUACAUCUUGGAUUUGCAUUUUCUCAUGACGGCAGAAAUGAUGUGAUAUUAAAAUUGUUAGAAUAAUCCAGAAUAGAUUUUGUGCAAAUAGUAAAAUUCGUUUACUUCCAAUAAAAAGACGUAAUAUGGA